GCUCAGCCACCUGACUCCUCCUUGUUAAGUCAGUGUCAAAUUUUCCCUGUGCGUACUUGUCAUUGUAUUUCCUGUCUCCAGUGGUUGUCAGUCGUUGAAAAGAUUGCGUUAGUUCAGGAGACCAUGCUAUUUGAGCGUGAAAUAACUUCGAUAACCUGGCCGGGGAUGAAGAGACGGAACAGCUUCAGUUUCCUUGCCCCUUACAUGAACGAAGAUUCAGGGGAAAAAUUCAAGGAGCCUAGCUUGGAAGGAAAACAACAAGAUGGCAGACUUUUGCCAAAACUACCUACAGCAGACAUGACGGACGGAAUGAUCGUUAUGAAACACAUCAACUUGAUCUAAGGAUACAAGUCAGAUAUACCCCAAAACAUGGGAUGGCUGUGCGUCAACAAAGAAAACAAGGAGACAAUCUUCCCAAGACAACAAUCAAGAGUAAAGAGAAUAUACGAAAUAAAUUCACAAUUCAAACUUUCUAGUUUCCUCAAGGAUCACACUGACUCGUGCUUAGACUUGUUGCUCUUGUUGGUUAGUGGUAGCCUAUUUAAACUGUUUUAUUCUAUUUUAGUUCAUCUAAUUUUUUAUUUUAUUUUACUGUUGCUUGUUUUUUCUACAGGUACACUUGCACUUACAGAUUCAUGUUGUUUAAAUUGUAACUUGCUUAACUACAUGCUCUUAUGGUUCAGGCAGGAGGACUCAGUAUAGUAUUUACUUGAUACUUUAUUCACACGGUUCAACACAUUGUAACAAUUGAUUUGGCAUUAUGGUUCUGCUUGCGUCGGCUCCCUGCGGUGUGUCCAGACAUUUUUGAUAGGGGUGGCACCAGGGGUGGCCCGCCUCUGACUGGGCAUAUAGCCAAUCAUAUAUUGGGAUGGCCAAUCAGAUUUCAGGGGUGGCCCUGCCACCCUAGGCCACCGCCAGGACACACCCCUGUGCCGCACCCAACGGAGACACCGUCUCGACCUCCGAGCAGAGACUAGCGACGCAUUCCCCCUACAACAGGAAACACAGAACCAAGGGUGGAGGCCGGGGAGGCAAAGGCAGCAGAUAAACAGAAAGCAACCUGUGUCGCACUAGCAAAGCAGAGUGCAGCGAUAUCCUGAUUAAAUUGCUCGCCCUGCUAAGAAGGUGUGCCCUACUGCGUGAUGACGCGCUGCCAGUGACGCGCUGCUAAUGAGGCGCUAUGUCUCGCGUCCCCCUGCAUGAAUCAGCUCCGCUUGUUUUUUCCCUUUGGCACUUAUUUGUUGGUUGUUCACAAUGUGUGCUUCUUGUUUUGGCUACCCGCAAUGCUUUGGGGCUAUCUUGUUGUUAUUAUCAGUGACCUAUGCACUUUGUAAAGCUCUCUCUUGGAAGUCGCUUUGGAUAAAAGCGUGUGCUAAAUGUACUACUAGCACAAAUAAAAUUGGAUUUUGACCUUA